UACAGAGACUGCAAGCGUUAUUCGGAUUCACUGGGCGUAAAGGGUGCGCAGGCGGUUGGGUGUGUCAGAUGUGAAAUCCCGAGGCUUAACCUCGGAACUGCGUCUGAAACUACUCGACUAGAGUACUGGAGAGGGAAACGGAAUUCACGGUGUAGCAGUGAAAUGCGUAGAUAUCGUGAGGAACACCAGAGGCGAAGGCGGCUCACUGGCCCGAUACUGACGCUGAGGCACGAAAGCGUGGGGAGCAAACAGG
rnacentral:rRNA from 1 species